GUGGAUAACCUGCCGUAUACCGGGGGAUAACACUUAGAAAUAGGUGCUAAUACCGCAUAAGCGCACGGCUCCGCAUGGGGCAGUGUGAAAAACUCCGGUGGUAUACGAUGGAUCCGCGUCUGAUUAGCUAGUUGGCGGGGUAACGGCCCACCAAGGCAGCGAUCAGUAGCCGGCCUGAGAGGGUGGACGGCCACAUUGGGACUGAGACACGGCCCAAACUCCUACGGGAGGCAGCAGUGGGGAAUAUUGCAUAAUGGGGGAAACCCUGAUGCAGCGACGCCGCGUGAGUGAAGAAGUAUCUCGGUACGUAAAGCUCUAUCAGCAGGGAAGAAAAUGACGGUACCUGACCAAGAAGCCCCGGCUAACUACGUGCCAGCAGCCGCGGUAAUACGUAGGGGGCAAGCGUUAUCCGGAUUUACUGGGUGUAAAGGGAGCGUAGACGGCAGCACAAGUCUGGAGUGAAAUCCCGGGGCUUAACCCCGGAACUGCUUUGGAAACUGUGCGGCUGGAGUGCAGGAGGGGUAAGCGGAAUUCCUAGUGUAGCGGUGAAAUGCGUAGAUAUUAGGAGGAACACCGGUGGCGAAGGCGGCUUACUGGACUGUAACUGACGUUGAGGCUCGAAAGCGUGGGGAGUAACCAGGAUUAGAUACCCUGGUAGUCCACGCCGUAAACGAUGAUUACUAGGUGUCGGGGGACCAAGGUCCUCCGGUGCCGGCGCAAACGCAUUAAGUAAUCCACCUGGGGAGUACGUCCGCAAGAAUGAAACUCANAGGAAUUGACGGG
rnacentral:rRNA from 1 species